UUAUCGACCACGUUGGGAGGAAGAAACUUGCCAUUUCGAGCUUAUCUGGUGUAAUAGUAGCACUUGCCAUUCUUUCUGGGGCAUUCAUUGCUGGCCAAUCUAGUUCAACAGAUGGUCUGCAUGGAUGGAUUGCAGUAAUUGGAUUGGCUCUCUACAUUGCUUUCUUUUCCCCUGGGAUGGGACCAGUACCGUGGACUGUGAACUCUGAGAUAUACCCCGAGGCUUAUCGAGGGAUAUGUGGUGGUAUGUCAGCAACAGUCAAUUGGGUUUCAAAUUUGAUUGUGGCUCAAACAUUUCUUUCGCUUGCUGAAGUAGCUGGAACUGGUCCAACCUUCCUCAUCCUUGCAGGCAUAGCCGUGCUCGCAGUCCUGUUUGUUGUCAUGUAUGUUCCUGAGACACAGGGACUGACAUUUGAGGAGGUGGAGAGGAA
rnacentral:misc_RNA from 1 species